CAAUAGCGUAUAUUAAAGUUGUUGCAGUUAAAAAGCUCGUAGUUGGAUUUCUGGUGGGAGCGAUCGGUCUGGCGCUUAGCGCGAGUACUUGCAUCGUCUCCGGCCAUCCUUGGGGAGAGUCUGUCUGGCAUUAGGUUGUCGGGCAGAGGAUCCUCAUCGUUUACUGUGAAAAAAUUAGAGUGUUCAAAGCAGGCUUAUGCCGUUGAACAUAUUAGCAUGGAAUAAUAAGAUAGGACUUUGGUACUAUUUUGUUGGUUUGCGCACCAAAGUAAUGAUUAAUAGGGACAGUUGGGGGUAUUCGUAUUCCGUUGUCAGAGGUGAAAUUCUUGGAUUUACGGAAGACGAACUACUGCGAAAGCAUUUACCAAGGAUGUUUUCAUUAA
rnacentral:rRNA from 1 species